GCCAGAAUGGUUUAGUGGUUUGAGCAUUGGACUAGGACUCUGGAGACAUGGUUCAAAUCCCCUCUCAGCCA